CCCUUAGAUGUUCUGGGCUGCACGCGCGCUACACUGAUGCACUCAACGAGUUUACGACCUUGCCCGAUAGGGUUGGGUAAUCUUUUUAAAAUGCAUCGUGAUGGGGAUAGAUUAUUGCAAUUAUUAAUCUUCAACGAGGAAUUCCUAGUAAACGCAGAUCAUCAAUCUGCAUUGAUUACGUCCCUGCCCUUUGUACACACCGCCCGUCGCACCUACCGAUUGGAUGGUCCGGUGAAGCCUCGGGAUUGUGGUUCUUGCCGCUUUAUUGUGGCGUGACCGCGAGAACUUGUCUAAACCUUAUCAUCUAGAGGAAGGUGAAGUCGUAACA
rnacentral:rRNA from 1 species